GAUGAACGCUAGCGGCAGGCCUAAUACAUGCAAGUCGAACGGACGUAGCAAUACGUUAGUGGCGCACGGGUGCGUAACGCGUAGGCAAUCUGCCUACUCCUGGGGGAUAGCCCGCCGAAAGGUGGAUUAAUACCGCAUGACACCACAGCACGGCAUCGUGCAAUGGUUAAAGAAUUUCGGGAGUAGAUGAGCCUGCGUGCCAUUAGCUAGUUGGCGGGGUAACGGCCCACCAAGGCGACGAUGGCUAGGGGAGCUGAGAGGCCGAUCCCCCACACUGGCACUGGGAUACGGGCCAGACUCCUACGGGAGGCAGCAGUAGGGAAUAUUGGGCAAUGGGCGCGAGCCUGACCCAGCCAUGCCGCGUGACGGACGAAGGCCUUCUGGGUUGUAAACGUCUUUUGACCGGGAAGAAAAAGCCCUUGCGAGGGAAAUCGACGGUACCGGUUGAAUAAGCACCGGCUAACUCCGUGCCAGCCGCCGCGGUAAAAC
rnacentral:rRNA from 1 species